AGAGUUUGAUCCUGGCUCAGGAUGAACGCUAGCGACAGGCUUAACACAUGCAAGUCGAGGGGCAGCAGGGGAGUAGCAAUACUCCCGCUGGCGACCGGCGCACGGGUGAGUAACACGUAUGCAACCUGCCCUUGUCAGGGGGAUAAGCGGAAGAAAUUCCGUCUAAUACCGCAUAAUGCUGCGGGGAGACAUCUCCCUGCAGCCAAAGAUUUAUCGGACAAGGAUGGGCAUGCGGCGCAUUAGCUGGUUGGCGGGGUAACGGCCCACCAAGGCGACGAUGCGUAGGGGUUCUGAGAGGAAGGUCCCCCACACUGGUACUGAGACACGGACCAGACUCCUACGGGAGGCAGCAGUGAGGAAUAUUGGUCAAUGGCCGGGAGGCUGAACCAGCCAAGUCGCGUGAGGGAAGACGGUCCUAUGGAUUGUAAACCUCUUUUGUCAGGGAGCAAAAACUGCCACGCGUGGCAGGAUGAGAGUACCUGAAGAAAAAGCAUCGGCUAACUCCGUGCCAGCAGCCGCGGUAAUACGGAGGAUGCGAGCGUUAUCCGGAUUUAUUGGGUUUAAAGGGUGCGUAGGCGGACAGUUAAGUCAGCGGUAAAAUUGAGAGGCUCAACCUCUUCCCGCCGUUGAAACUGAUUGUCUUGAGUGGGCGAGAAGUAUGCGGAAUGCGUGGUGUAGCGGUGAAAUGCAUAGAUAUCACGCAGAACUCCGAUUGCGAAGGCAGCAUACCGGCGCCCAACUGACGCUGAGGCACGAAAGCGUGGGUAUCGAACAGGAUUAGAUACCCUGGUAGUCCACGCAGUAAACGAUGAAUACUAAUUGUUCGGGUCAAAUGAGAUCUGAGUGAUACAGCGAAAGCGUUAAGUAUUCCACCUGGGGAGUACGCCGGCAACGGUGAAACUCAAAGGAAUUGACGGGGGCCCGCACAAGCGGAGGAACAUGUGGUUUAAUUCGAUGAUACGCGAGGAACCUUACCCGGGCUCAAACGACACAGGAAUGAUCUGAGAAAUCAGGCAGUCCUCCGGGACCUGUGUCGAGGUGCUGCAUGGUUGUCGUCAGCUCGUGCCGUGAGGUGUCGGCUUAAGUGCCAUAACGAGCGCAACCCCCAUCGACAGUUGCCAGCAGGUGAAGCUGGGCACUCUGUCGAGACUGCCGGCGCAAGCUGUGAGGAAGGCGGGGAUGACGUCAAAUCAGCACGGCCCUUACGUCCGGGGCGACACACGUGUUACAAUGGCCGGUACAGCGGGAAGCCAGGCGGCGACGCCGAGCGGAACCCGAAAACCGGUCUCAGUUCGGAUCGGAGUCUGCAACCCGACUCCGUGAAGCUGGAUUCGCUAGUAAUCGCGCAUCAGCCAUGGCGCGGUGAAUACGUUCCCGGGCCUUGCACUCACCGCCCGUCA
rnacentral:rRNA from 1 species